rnacentral:rRNA from 1 species
AGCUCCAUUAGCGUAUAUUAAAGUUGUUGCAGUUAAAAAGCUCGUAGUUGGAUUUCGGUUCGGGUCGGGGCGGUGGCGUCGCGAGACGUCUACCUCCCGGCCAGUCUCUCUUCCCGAAGACUGCGUGUGCUCUUCAGUGGGUGCGCGUCGGGACUCGGGACGUUUACUUUGAAAAAAUUAGAGUGUUCAAAGCAGGCUUAGGCCGUUGGAUACAUUAGCAUGGAAUAAUGAGAUAGGGCCACGGCGGUCUAUUUUGUUGGUUUGCACGUUGUGGUAAUGAUUAACAGGAACGGUUGGGGGUAUUCGUAUUCAAUUGUCAGAGGUGAAAUUCUUGGAUUUAUGGAAGACGAACUACUGCGAAAGCAUUUACCAAGGAUGUUUUCAUUAAUCAAGAACGAAA